CAGGAUGUGAANUCCCCGGGCUCAACCUGGGAACUGCGUUNUGAACUGGGUGACUAGAGUGUNUCAGAGGGAGGUAGAAUUCCACGUGUAGCAGUGAAAUGCGUAGAGAUGUGGAGGAAUACCGAUGGCGAAGGCAGCCUCCUGGGAUAACACUGACGUUCAUGCCCGAAAGCGUGGGUAGCAAACAGGAUUAGAUACCCUGGUAGUCCACGCCCUAAACGAUGUCGAUUAGCUGUUGGGCAGCAUGACUGCUUAGUAGCGAAGCUAACGCGUGAAAUCGACCGCCUGGGGAGUACGGUCGCAAGAUUAAAACUCAAAGGAAUUGACGGGGACCCGCACAAGCGGUGGAUGAUGUGGAUUAAUUCGAUGCAACGCGAAGAACCUUACCUGGUCUUGACAUGUACGGAACCCUCCAGAGACGGAGGGGUGCCUUCGGGAGCCGUAACACAGGUGCUGUAUGGCUGUCGUCAGCUCGUGUCGUGAGAUGUUGGGUUAAGUCCCGCAACGAGCGCAACCCUUGUCAUUAGUUGCCAUCAUUAAGUUGGGCACUCUAAUGAGACUGCCGGUGACAAGCCGGAGGAAGGUGGGGAUGACGUCAAGUCCUCAUGGCCCUUAUGACCAGGGCUUCACACGUCAUACAAUGGUCGGUACAGAGGGUAGCCAAGCCGCGAGGUGGAGCCAAUCUCACAAAACCGAUCGUAGUCCGGAUUGCACUCUGCAACUCGAGUGCAUGAAGUCGGAAUCGCUAGUAAUCGCAGGUCAGCAUACUGCGGUGAAUACGUUCCCGGGUCUUGUACACA
rnacentral:rRNA from 1 species